rnacentral:rRNA from 1 species
GGACUACUCGGGUAUCUAAUCCUGUUUGAUCCCCACGCUUUCGAGCCUAAGUGUCAGUGUUGGGCCAGAUGCCCGCCUUCGCCACCGGUGUUCCUCCUGAUCUCUACGUAUUUCACCACUACACCAGGAAUUCUAGCAUCCUCUCCCACACUCAAGUUUCGCAGUAUCAAAAGCACUUCCAGGGUUAAGCCCUGGGCUUUCACUCCUGACUUACAAAACCACCUGCGCUCGCUUUACGCCCAAUGAUUCCGAGCAACGCUUGGGACCUUCGUAUUACCGCGGCUGCUGGCAC